CUGUUCCCUCAUGAUUCCACAUCAGCAUCCUCAAAAUUAUGCUCUUCAUCAAUUCAAUUCACGUUAAAAAUUUCAGCGGUUACUAUCUCCCCAUGUUCAAUGGAGGUUAAGAGAUUGGUCCAUAUUCUACCCUUUUAUUCUUCCAUUCAUUCACGUUCCCUAAAACCGCUGACGGUUACGAAAAUGCUUCAUCAUUCACAACCAUAACUUUCAAUCUUCCCCUUCAACCUUCUUCUACAGCGGUUUUACAAAUCUGUUUCUUUUUCAAGUGCAAAAACGAUCCCUCCUUUCUCUCUUCCUCCGUUCUUCCUCUUCUUUUCUCUCUCCAAUCUCCGACAACGAUUGUCGCUGAAAAGUGCAACAGGCGGCAGCAUCUUUUUGCAAUUUUAAUUAGUUUAUGUAAUUGAUGAUUUUGUGUGUUAUUUGUAGGUAAUUCUUCGGUUCUGAUCCGAUCUUCGACGCCAAAAGGAACAAAGAACCUCCCCUUUCCAUCAAAGAUGCCAACGAAAGGCGAUCAGCUAGCGUUGGUUGAAUAUUUUGGACCAUAAAAUACAGGAAGAAUAUCAACUAUAAAGCAGAGCAACAAUAAAAUACAGGAAGAAUCAAUCAGAUGCACAAUUCAAUUUUAUUUAGAUUCAAACACAAUAAAGCAGAGCAACAAUAAUUCGAGUGAAUUUUAUAGGGAAGGGUUCAAAAUAACUCAAUCCGAAAUUGGAAUUUCAUCACAAUGAAGAUGAAAUUCUCAAUUAGCAGUUUCCCUUGGUGAGGGUAUGCACUUAGCUUCUGCAGGUUCGAUGAUGAAGCACAAGUUUGCUUGGCCAUAAAAAAGAAAGGAUGGCAAUGAGAGAGAUUGAUCGGUUCUUUGUACUAUUUUGGUUUUGUUUAUGCUUUCAAUUUCAGGUGGCGG